rnacentral:rRNA from 1 species
UACGUAGGGUGCGAGCGUUAAUCGGAAUUACUGGGCGUAAAGCGUGCGCAGGCGGUAAUGUAAGACAGAUGUGAAAUCCCCGGGCUCAACCUGGGACCUGCAUUUGUGACUGCAUUGCUGGAGUGCGGCAGAGGGGGAUGGAAUUCCGCGUGUAGCAGUGAAAUGCGUAGAUAUGCGGAGGAACACCGAUGGCGAAGGCAAUCCCCUGGACCUGUACUGACGCUCAUGCACGAAAGCGUGGGGAGCAAACAGG